rnacentral:lncRNA from 1 species
UCAAUAUACAGUGAAUAUACAGUCAAUAUCUGAGAUUGCUAAAACUGCAUAUCUUUUCAGUGUUGUACUUUCAGACAACUGAAAAUUCAGUGAAGUGCCACUAGGAGCAGUAGGAACUGUCAAAAUUCAGUUACCUGUCACCAGGAGCUUUCAAAAUUCAGUUUGCUGUACAUGUGCUGAAGCCUGAUUGAAUCUUUUGUUGGUCUGAAAACCUGACACAAGGUAGGGUACUGACCCAUGGACAAACACAAUCACUAUUCAUACAGACCAUGUCGUCAUGGAAAACAUUUGCCUGAAAGCACUGUGAUCAUUCGAUCUGCAAGGCCACUGAAGUCGGUGCAUAAGUGCAUGAUGAUGGUGUGCGUAUGUUACGUGGCACUGCCGGUGGUUGGGAUCACCUGGUGGAUGAAACACAAUUGGAUUUUGUCAAUGUAGACUCUGUUUGUAGAAAGUUUGUGCUCUGUUAAGCAGAUCAGCGUGUGAGUAUAGGAUACACAUCAUUCUUUCAGUAUGCCUACUAGCUAGCACAAUUGUUCAGAGACUACUGUUUUUGCAAGAGACUGCAUUAAUCACUUGUCUAAGCCAAUAACUCUAGACUUUGCCAAACACAGCUUUAUCUUCUUGAGUCACUAGAUUGUCGGGUUAGCCUAGCCAUUCAGCUAAAAUUACACUAACUACGUUAACUAACAAAACAGUGUUAACUGAAAAAAAUUCAGUAGACAUCAGCAGAGCAAUUAUGAUCUGAACAAUUUUCAACAGAACAAUUUUCAGUAAUAGAACAAUUAUGAUCUAUUGAUAUUUGAUAAUGUACUCCAGAACUGUGAAUACUAAAUGAAACUUCGAGGAGGUCACCUUUAAUCUGAAUAAUAAAUUGUUUACAGGGAAGCUGUAGUACCAUAUGAAUGCACAAGAUGGAUGUUUUACUGUCAUGAUCUUUGUUUGCAAAUGUUUCAGUAAACAUCAUACUCCUCAAAUUCAGUUAAACUACUACACAGAAAAUUCAGAUCGACCUGUCAGAUAACAAGCUGACAGGAGUCAUCCCCAGCGAGCUCGGCAAGAUACCGACGCUCCACCUCUUCGAGAACCGCCUGCAAGGGAGUAGCAUCCCACGGUAGCUGGGCAAGAUGGGUGUCAUAAGGAGAAUAGACCUGUGCAAUUCCGAUGGAGUUUCAGAACCUGCAGCUGUUCUCUGACAACCAAAUCCAUGGUGGAAUCCCUUCUUUCUGGGGGCGAGAAAGCUCACCGAGGGUGCCUUGGCGGCGAACGGAA